AUGGUCCACCUGGUCCCCGCCCAUCGGAGCGAAAAAGGGAACUGCCCCGCCCGCCAGCUAGCCGCGGGAUCACGUGCACCCUCCUCGCCAAACCAUGCCCCGCCCACCAACUGCGCCCUGGCUAUCUUCUUCUUCCUCACGAAAGAAGGAUCUGCCCAGGUUGCAGAAUCCUUCAUCGCUAGGAGAGAAGGACAACAUGGCGGCUCCCAGGAACAAAUAAGAGAAGAGAAGAGGCUUAGAGAUCACAAAAAAGACAAUAAAAAAGUAGAUCAAAGACCAGGCAGGAUCUUCUUCUUCCUCACGAAAGAAGGAUCUGCCCAGUUUGCAGGACCUUCAUCGCCAGAACAAAAGAACAAGAGAAGAGAAGAGGGCUUAGAAAUCAGAGAGAAGACCAGAAAAAGCCAGAUCAGAAGAGAGGAGGGACAAAAAAGAAAACCUACCUCUAGGAUCCAGAGGUGA
rnacentral:rRNA from 1 species